GCACGGGUGCUUGCACCUGGUGGCGAGCGGCGGACGGGUGAGUAACGCGUGGGAACGUGCCCAUUAGUGGGGGAUAACCUGGGGAAACUCAGGCUAAUACCGCAUAAGCCCUACGGGGGAAAGCGGGGGAUCCUCGGACCUCGCGCUAAUGGAUCGGCCCGCGUCAGAUUAGCUAGUUGGUAGGGUAAAGGCCUACCAAGGCGACGAUCUGUAACUGGUCUGAGAGGAUGAUCAGUCACACCGGAACUGAGACACGGUCCGGACUCCUACGGGAGGCAGCAGUGGGGAAUCUUGGACAAUGGGCGCAAGCCUGAUCCAGCCAUGCCGCGUGUGUGAAGAAGGCCCUAGGGUUGUAAAGCACUUUCAGCAGGGAGGAAGGCUUCUGGUUAAUACCUGGGAGUACUUGACGUUACCUGCAGAAGAAGCACCGGCUAAUUUCGUGCCAGCAGCCGCGGUAAUACGAAAGGUGCGAGCGUUAAUCGGAAUUACUGGGCGUAAAGCGCGCGUAGGCGGCUAUUUAAGUCUGAUGUGAAAUCCCUGGGCUCAACCUGGGAACUGCAUCGGAUACUGGGUAGCUAGAGUGCAGUAGAGGAAGGUGGAAUUCCAGGUGUAGCGGUGAAAUGCGUAGAGAUCUGGAGGAACACCAGUGGCGAAGGCGGCCUUCUGGACUGACACUGACGCUGAGGUGCGAAAGCGUGGGGAUCAAACAGGAUUAGAUACCCUGGUAGUCCACGCCGUAAACGAUGUCUACUAGCCGUUGGUGCCCUUAGUGGUGCUGGUGGCGCAGCUAACGCAUUAAGU
rnacentral:rRNA from 1 species